rnacentral:rRNA from 1 species
UACAGAGGUCUCAAGCGUUGUUCGGAUUCAUUGGGCGUAAAGGGUGCGUAGGCGGCGCGGUAAGUCGGGUGUGAAAUCUCGGAGCUUAACUCCGAAACUGCAUUCGAUACUGCCGUGCUUGAGGACUGGAGAGGAGACUGGAAUUUACGGUGUAGCGGUGAAAUGCGUAGAUAUCAGGAGGAACACCGCUGGCGAAGGCGGUUCUCUGGGCAUGAUCUGACGCUGAGGAGCGAAAGUGUGGGGAGCGAACAGG